rnacentral:lncRNA from 1 species
GAAAAUUAGAUCAUUUUAUUUUGGCUUCUCUAAUCUACAGCUUGUCUGAAGAGCCGAGAAGAUGAACCGCCAUUUUAAGAUGACGUCCAGAGCAGAUAAGCAAGAGGAAGACACCAAAUGUGUUCUUUAAGGGCCCAGAUGAUACUGAUGUGCCAGGUUUCAGAUUUGAGAACAGAGCUGAGGCCAUGGUGCACCUGGAGCCUAAAGCAAAGACGGAAAAACCUGAAUGACAGCCCAGGAGUUUCCAGAGCAGUACAAAGUCCUCUAUCUGGCUCCUACAACUGUCAUAAUAAGAAGUGCCAUCAUUUGCUGAUGAAAAUUAGGAAUGUAUUAACAGUAAUCACAUUUAACAGCUACAUCUGUGGGGUUUGCCAGACGUAACACAUUUUGAAUGAACUUGAUCACCGUUGCUUCCUAUUGAUAGGUUGAGCUACAAACAAGGAAGCCAAUUUAAUAUGCAUCCCCAUUGAAUUUAAACUGACCACCAAGCUUAUAAUCUCUGGCUGUAGAGACGAGGACACAAAGAGUUAAGUAACUUCCCCAAAGUCACACAAGCAGCCAUGCUGUUGUGACAGAAAACAUUAUGUGUUCAGGGUCUUGGAGGAGGAAAUGUCCCUUCUCAAACAUUCAGCCAAGGUUGUAAAAUCAGAAACGUCCAGCUUAUAAUGUUCUGAUCUGAUACCCUGAUUCUCUUACAGCACUUACUUUUUCCCCUCAAAAUGAUACUUAAAAAAACUCUUUGUCUGGGGGCUGGAGAGAUUGUUCAGUGGUUAAGAACACUGCUUUUCCAGAGGUCCUGAGUUCAAUACCCAGCAACCACGUGGUGGCUCAAAAUCAUCUCUAACAGGAUCCGAUGCCCUCUUCUGGUGUGUCUGAAGACAGCUACAGUAUGCUCACAUAAAAAUAAAUAAAUACAAAUCUUAACAAGAAAAUAAAAAACCAAAUACCUCUUUGUCCAGGUGGUAAACAGUUUGAGGGCCAUACUUUACAUCUAGAAUUACAAACAUGUACACAGGGUCUUACACACAAUUUAAUGACAAUAUGUUGUAUGUUCAAAUGAAAGAAUUUUUUUAAAAAGAUGUGUGUGUGUGUAUGCAGUGUGUGUGCCACGUAUGUGGGUGCACAUGUGUGUGGGAGCACAUAUAUGUAGGUGCACAUAUGUGUGGAUGCCUUUGGAGGCCAGAAGACGGUGUCAGAACGUUUGGACCUGGAGUUGUCGGCAGCUGUGAACAGAAUUCUGGUCUUCUGCAAGAACGGUCUGUGCUCUUAGCUGUGGAGCCGUUAGUCCCCACACUGUUUCCAAUGUUUGCUUCAGACUCAAUGCAACUGCAUUCACUCAGAGUGAAUUGGACAAGGACCGGGUAUAGAAGUGACUUCCAGGGCAGUUCGGGCUGGAGUUCUGAUAUGACUGGUCGCUACUGGAUACAGCGCAGUCUUCCACACCUUGGUAGUGUGUGGAGGUAUUGGGUGCCCAACUGAUCAGGUGAUUCAAAUGCUGUCUUCUUUUAUUCCUCUGGGAGUGUUUUGUUACCUAGGGAUGGGAACACCAUAGCAACUAAGAGUUACAAAUCUUGCUGAAUUGAAUCCUUGUGCUAGAAAUAACCUGGACAAAGACCGAGCUUAAAACAGAACAGGGAGGGUGUGGGGGAGUUAAAGAUUCGAGGAGGAGAACAGAACUAUUAAAUAACCCAGAGAUCUGAAUUUGGAUUAAAAUUUUGCUUAACUUGCAAGGCACACUGUUACUCUUCAAAUACAGGGCCAUUGACAGGAGAAGAAUGUGGAUGGGGACAGGUGACCAUCCACAAUGAAAUACUACUAUGUGUUCUCCCUCUAUCUUGUCGCCUCGCGCUGAAGAUAAAGACACUGGAAAGAAAAAGAUGGUAUUGGAGGCCCAGAAGCUGUUUAGUUUGGCCCUACUGUAAACCUCCUUCCCAGGGGCCCUGCAACCUUUCCAGUCACGCGACUUAUAGAGCGUUAAAGGGACUUCACUAAAGGCAGGCCCUGCGCGGCACACCCCACCCUUCCUGGUAGAGUAAGUUGUGUCAAUAACAAGUUUCUCAGGGGUGCACACGUGAGAAGGCAGGGGUCUUCUGCUGGGGUGGAGCGCCUGGGGAACGGCCAUAAGCCCCGGCUCCUGGGUUUCUGGAAUGCAGCCCCAGCUCCUGGCGCGGCGUGUGGCUGCCAUGCACCGCGGAUGCCAGGCUGGGCGAGUGCAUCCGGGCGGCCGCAUGGCGUUGGCUCCGGGAGGUGGCAGCUGCGCUUUGUGUGCAGCAGGAGGGUGAGUCACCGGCCCCCGCGGUCCGUCCCAAGGCCGGGUGGACUCUCGGGCCGGGUGGCGGAGCGAUCCGGGUAAGGGCGGCUCGGAGGCGGCGCUGCGCGUCCCCGGCUCCCGCCU